rnacentral:lncRNA from 1 species
AAUUUUCUUGAUUAAAUUGGACAUCCUUGAUGUCAUAUAAAUUGAGAUAUUGCUGUCAAUUCCCUCCUCAAAUCUCUCAAAUUUUUUUGUCGAGAUUUCAUCGAGAAACCGUUGUUUCUUCGACGAUAAUUCUGCUCUUACAAGACAACACAAUUCUGCAGCAAACUUUCACUGAUUUCUAUCAAACCUAUACAUACCUUUAAC